UACGUAGGGACCAAGCGUUGUUCGGAUUUACUGGGCGUAAAGGGCGCGUAGGCGGCGCGGUAAGUCACUUGUGAAAUCUCUGAGCUUAACUCAGAACGGCCAAGUGAUACUGCAGUGCUAGAGUGUGGAAGGGGCAACUGGAAUUCUCGGUGUAGCGGUGAAAUGCGUAGAUAUCGAGAGGAACACCUGCGGCGAAGGCGGGUAGCUGGGCCGACACUGACGCUGAUGCGCGAAAGCCAGGGGAGCGAACGGG
rnacentral:rRNA from 1 species